rnacentral:rRNA from 1 species
UACGUAGGGACCAAGCGUUGUUCGGAUUUACUGGGCGUAAAGGGCGCGUAGGUGGCUUGACAAGUCAACGGUGAAAUCCCUCGGCUCAACCGAGGAAUGGCCUUUGAAACUGUCGAGCUAGAGGCCGGGAGAGGGUAGUGGAAUUCCCAGUGUAGCGGUGAAAUGCGUAGAUAUUGGGAGGAACACCAGUGGCGAAGGCGGCUACCUGGACCGGUUCUGACGCUGAGGCGCGAAAGCGUGGGGAGCAAACAGG